CAUGCGGCAACAACAGAGUAGCCUGUCUGAAACAAGGCAGUAUAUAAAGUGAGGUCAUCAAACGGUGUACAUGCUUCCUGAAGUUUGAACACUUACAAUGGCAUAGCGUUCAGCGGGAUUUAAACCAUCUGAAGAUAGAAGAAAAUUGCAUGAUGACUUACCAAAGACCCAACUGAAAGAAUAUGGGAUAGCACAUGCACAUUAAAGAGCCCUGCCAAGACUCCAGCAACAACUCCAACCCAGACUUGAGAAUGAACUGGAGUGUGGCUUUUCAAGUUUACUCUAGCAAAUAUUGAAGGUAAUAAGCCGUCCCUUCCAAGGCCAAGGUACAACCGAGACUGA